rnacentral:lncRNA from 13 species
GCUGUCACCACAGUUUUAAUCCAAACUUGCAUUAACUUUCGACUAGAUUACUUCAAUAUCAACAUAACCAGCUUUUUCUCUCAUCCAUUUUCUAUUGCAAAAAAAAAAAAACAGAAAUAAACUAUUAACUUUAUCCUGCCCUCCUCCUAUUCCCAACUUAAAAUACCUUGGCUAUUCUUCAUUGCUUUAAAGACCAAAACAUUUACAUGUACCUUUAAGGUUCUAAAUAUUUUGAUCUCUUCAUAUGAAUGACAUAUUCUUUUUUUCAUCUUGCUGUCUCAAAAUUCCAGCCACCCAGAAAUUCCUAGUUCCUCAAACAGUCUAAAUUGCUCAAGGCCUUAAUGAUGUUUUCUUCUUGAGAAACACUAAUUAUUUCUCUCUUUACCUAAUCACCGCUUACUCACUUCUCAGCUACAACUUGAUUGCUUCAAAGAAGACAUCAGGGACCUUGAACAUAGCGAUAUUGUGAUAUAAUGCAAUAUAGGUAUUCAAUCUUUGUACCUGGUUCCUGGCACAAGAAAUUUUGAAACUAUUGGAACUUUCUGAGUGAUCAGGAUGGGAGGACCAUCUUUUGUUAUUCAUAAAAGCCCCUUUCAAUCUUACCUGAAUUUAUGCUAAUAAAGUGACUCUUGGUAGGCCUCUAGAUAGCUUUAGGAUGGGAGCUUGUUGCCAGGGAAACCAUUGUUACAGAGUUGGAACUUUCAGUCCCCUACACCACACCAUUAAGGAGGGGAGAGGGACUAGAAAUGGAGGCAAUCACCAAUGGCCAAUGAUUAUUUAAUCACUAGUGCCUGAGCAAUGAAGAUUUCAUGAAAACCCUGUAGGAGAAGGCUCUAGGAGCUUGCAGAUAAUGAAUAAGCUGAAGUACUAGAAGGAAGGUCUGACCAGACAGGCCACAGACGAGCGACACUCCUGACCUUCAUAACUUGUCCUAUGCAUGUUUUACUUUUUGGCUGUACCUUAAAAAAUAUUGAACAUUCGUUAAAAGAAUAUAUUCCAAAACUGAAGAGAAAAAGCAUGAGGACGGAAAGUGAACCAAAGCUGAAUAACAAAUGCCACCUUACAUUUUUUCUUAAGUUUAUCAGAAAUGUUAUAAUAGUGUCAUAUUUUUCUGUAUUUAUGCUUUAAAAUACAUGAGUAUCUUUUCAAGCAGCAAUAAAACUUUGCCACAUGUGUUUGUACA